GGUUUUGUAGUGUAGCGGUUAUCACUCCGGAUUCUGAUUCCGGCAACCCCAGUUCGAUUCUGGGCAAGACCU
rnacentral:tRNA from 1 species